rnacentral:rRNA from 1 species
CCCUUAGAUGUUCUGGGCCGCACGCGCGCUACACUGACGAAGUCAGCGAGCAUGUUCUACGCCGACAGGUGCGGGGAAUCUUGUCAAACUUCGUCGUGAUGGGGAUUGAUUAUUGAAAUUCUUGAUCAUCAACGAGGAAUUCCUAGUAAGCGCAAGUCAGCAGCUUGCGUUGAUUACGUCCCUGCCCUUUGUACACACCGCCCGUCGCUACUACCGAUUGAAUGGUUUAGUGAGAUCUUCGGAUUGGCGCCACUGCGGCUCAGCAAUGGGCUCGGUGGAUGCCGAAAAGUUGAUCAAACUUGAUCAUUUAGAGGAAGUAAAAGUCGUAACA